rnacentral:rRNA from 1 species
GUCCACGCCGUAAACGAUGUCUACUAGCUGUUCGUGGUCUUGUACCGUGAGUAGCGCAGCUAACGCAUUAAGUAGACCGCCUGGGGAGUACGGUCGCAAGAUUAAAACUCAAAUGAAUUGACGGGGGCCCGCACAAGCGGUGGAGCAUGUGGUUUAAUUCGACGCAACGCGAAGAACCUUACCUACUCUUGACAUCUACAGAACUUAGCAGAGAUGCUUUGGUGCCUUCGGGAACUGUAAGACAGGUGCUGCAUGGCUGUCGU